CGCCCUGUUGCUACUGGUCAAUGUGGCCAGCGCAAUUACUAUUGAAAGAGCUGAAAACAAGUACAGGUCACCUUAUGCUUUGUCAUCUAAAAAUGCAUACCUGAUGGCUUUAUGAAGGUGGUACGUUAAUAUUAAGUUUACAGAAAGCGAUAGCUAAGUCUGUGACUUAUGUAAAUCACAAUGUACGCAUUCGUGCAAUAAAGGAUGACGCGAAUUUCGGUUUCGAAUCUGUUUUUUGGACGCGUAGUAGUUUCGUACAGUUUAGGUUUGACAUGCGAUCGCGUGUCGACAUCGGACGCUAUGGCACAUUCGUGCCUUAUGUGCCACCGAAGCCCCGAAGUGCUCUGGCAUAUACCUUCACAUGUUUCCCUUCAGUAGGAAAUUGCUGGACAGGCGGACCAGUGCACCGGAAUUGUACUGACGAAGCCACAAGCAACUCAAAGAAUCUGUUUAAUUGUUGCACUUUGAACAAUCAUGCUUCUACAAAGGCCACAGCAGAAAAACAGCCUGAUGCCCAGUAUUUCUGUGCCACAAAGUAAUCGAGAGGCGACUGCCUAAUGCGGACGAAAUCGAGUGCAUCGAGACUUAGAACGACAGAAAGCUGAGCUAGUUGACAAUGCCUACGCUUAGCCACAGCAGCUCCCUCAUACAGACUCCGCAAGCCAAGAGGCCGUGGAGGCAAAUGCAGGCAGCCAGCACACCCCGAAGAGCCACCUUGACUGCGGGUGUGUCACCCUAUUCGCCAAGGAAACAUUUGAGGGAAAGCGACAGGCAAUGUGAACAGCCACUUCUCCAUGUAAACAAUACUCUUUCUCUCGGAUGACUCCUACGCCUCGCCACGCCAGCACACUUGUGCACAAAGAUGCUGCGGAGGCACGUGCAGGUCAGAGGCAAGAAGCAGUGCCGCUGGUGUCGACAUUCACCCAAUUUCGUUUUCUUACACUGAGGCAGCCAGCACACCUCGAACAGCCACCUUGACUGCGGGUGUAUCAGUAGAUUCCUGUUGUACAUAUGCUCAUAACAAACUUCAGUAAACUUGAUCUUGAUAAUGAACUUGAAGGCAAAUGGGACAUUGAUGCAGUGUUUUUUUUUGAACAUUUAUUGUACACAUACAAUAUAUGUUUUACUUUGCA
rnacentral:lncRNA from 1 species